rnacentral:tRNA from 3 species
GCGAGAGUAGCUCAGUUGGUAGAGCUUCAGCCUUCCAAGCUGAUUGUCGCCGGUUCGAACCCGGUCUCUCGCU